UGUGUCCAUAUCAUCAUGAGUAUGGUAUAUACAUGUAAAGAACUUUGUCUCUGGUCAGAAAGACAAACAGAAAAACAGCCAUUUAAAACUUUUUAGACAGUUGAUCCCAUUGCAUGUUUUUCCAUAAGUGUAAUCUAGUAUUGCAAACAUUUACAAUGUUAUCUGUGGAAUUACGAUAAUAAGAUCCGAACUUCACAGAAGCCAGUUUGCCAGUAAUAAGAACUCUUGGUGUGGAGGUUCAUAAUGAUAAGGACUGUAGAUAAUAAAUGCAAAAUUAAUGUUGAUCAACUUCCCGAAUCACUACAGUAUAUUGGUCUUUGAAUUCGCCAAAUAGAAUAUCACAAGACGUUAUUUAAAUUAAAUACAUACAUUACCAAUACAUUGUUUGGCUUGAAUCGUUCGCCAUUGUAAUAUUAAUUUUGCAUUCAACGCAAAUUUGUUUCAAUUGCCAUUGACCAUUAAGCAUAUCAAGCAUACGUUAUAUUUCUGGAUUAUGAAAAAAAAAUUUAAUGAUAGUGCCACGUUAAAUACACGCGAUUUAUUUUCACUUGUUUUAAAUGCGAUAUUUCGCGCAGUUUUAGUUUCGCGCUCCUUGAAACACACGUAACUGAUCCAUGUUUUUCCGUGAUUGUUAAAAUCUCCACCUGAGCUGAAAAAGUCGAAGACAAAGAUAG